rnacentral:lncRNA from 1 species
UUGGUGACUGGUCUGCCGUCGACUUGCCCUUUGAGGAACAGUGCCUUGAGAUGCUGGCAUUUUUCAUCUUCAGGUUUUUCAAAAGUGGUGGUCAUUGGCUCCAAGGCCAAUUGUGCUAUCUGCUCUUCUACCUCUGUUGCGCUAUCGCGGUCAGUGGGAGCCACGAACUCCAUUGGUAAAAUGAACACCAUGUUAACAUCGACAGCCGAACCCUGAUCGUCAUCUCCUUCAUCGGCUUUUCUUCUGGGGUACCAAACUUGAGAAUUGACUCCUUUUUUGUCCAACAC